CGUCUGGAAACGGACGCUAACACCGGAUACGCCCCCCAGAGAGAUCUGGGCGGGGAAAGUUUACGCCGAGAGAGGGGCCCGCGUCGGAUUAGGUAGUUGGUGAGGUAACGGCUCACCAAGCCUGCGAUCCGUAGCUGGUCUGAGAGGAUGAUCAGCCACACUGGGACUGAGACACGGCCCAGACUCCUACGGGAGGCAGCAGUGGGGAAUAUUGGACAAUGGGCGCAAGCCUGAUCCAGCAAUGCCGCGUGAGUGAUGAAGGCCUUAGGGUUGUAAAGCUCUUUCGCACGCGACGAUGAUGACGGUAGCGUGAGAAGAAGCCCC
rnacentral:rRNA from 1 species